GCUGUGUUGGCAGAGAAGUGCGUUAAAUUUAAGCUUUAAAGAAUGCGAAAUAAGUCGCACAUAGCU
rnacentral:tRNA from 1 species